rnacentral:rRNA from 1 species
UACGUAGGGCGCAAGCGUUGUCCGGAAUUAUUGGGCGUAAAGGGCGCGUAGGCGGUUUGACAAGUCUGAUGUGAAAUCUCUGGGCUCAACCCAGAGUCUGCAUUAGAAACUGUCGGGCUUGAGUAUGGGAGAGGUGAGUGGAAUUUCCGGUGUAGCGGUGAAAUGCGUAGAUAUCGGAAGGAACACCUGUGGCGAAAGCGGCUCACUGGACCAUAACUGACGCUGAGGCGCGAAAGCUAGGGGAGCAAACAGG